rnacentral:rRNA from 1 species
UACGUAGGGGGCAAGCGUUGUUCGGAAUUACUGGGCGUAAAGGGCUCGUAGGCGGCCAACUAAGUCACACGUGAAAUCCCCAGGCUUAACCUGGGAACUGCGUGUGAUACUGGAUGGCUUGAAUUCGGGAGAGGGAUGCAGAAUUCCAGGUGUAGCGGUGAAAUGCGUAGAUAUCUGGAGGAAUACCGGUGGCGAAGGCGGCAUCCUGGACCGACAUUGACGCUGAGGAGCGAAAGCUAGGGGAGCAAACGGG